rnacentral:lncRNA from 1 species
GGCGGAAAACUAUUGAAGCUGCGGCCAUAGCAGCUGCUGUUUCUCCCGCUAGAUCCGACCCGGGAUUACUCGGAUCUAUCCGGUAAGCUUUCCUGUCCGUCGUCAUUUCUUCCGGUCUCUGCCAACAGUAGUGGUCGGUGUUGCCGUCUCCAACCUACAAACAUCCAUAAUGUAUUGAGAAAAAUAAAAUUUAAAAUUUGGAAAAUCUUUUAAAAUAAAUAAAAGCGUAACCAUUAAAAAAAAUACCUCGCCGUAAAGGACGUUGGGCUCAGGAUGGGCUUUGAUGAAGUAAUCAGUACCCCAUUUAAUGGCAUCAAUGGAGUGGCCUAGCUCGCCGUUGGCCGCUAACUGGUUGCCGUAUUCAAUGACGCUCCAC